GUUUCAAUUCAACAUAAAGAAAUGUUCAUUUUGUGCGCGCGCAGGCAGUGUAUUAAGGCUAAGAAAAAGAAUCGAUCUUUUUAAUGCAUAUGAGUUAGAUUGGUCUGCAUACAUCCAAAACACACAGCCCAUGAUAUUUGAUCUGAAAUGAGGUUGAAUACUGAGAGAAGAUCAGGGCUGGGGAUCAAGGAAUCCAUGUGAAAUCAGAAGUUGCCAGCAAUUUAUGUUAGCAGUAGAUGCAUUAUUGGGCAAGUUUGUAAUUCAUUUCUUCCCAUGAAGUUGCCUCGAUUUGGCUAAUUCCUAAGUUGCCAUCCCCUCCACCAUCUCUCAUCAUCUCCCUCACCCUUGAUACAUCAUCCCACCUCCCUGUAACUGCGUAAAGAUUUGACAUCAACACGUACAGGCCCCCAUUUCUGUAAUCCAAUAAAUAUAAUUUCUUGGCCAAACAUUCACCAAGCUUGACCUUUUGGUGGAUGCAACAAGCGCUAAGCAAAGCACCCCACACAGCAGAAUCAGGUUCGGUCUCCAUAUCCUUGAUAAACAACAAUGCUUCCUCAAAUAAACCUGCACGAGCAAGGAGACCAACCAUGCAAGCAGAGUGUUGCAAAGUUGGUACCAUACCAAACUCUUUAGUCAUUAUCUGGAAGUACCUUCUUCCUUCAUGAACAAGACCCCCAUGGGUGCAAGCAGCUAAAACUCCUAAAAAAGUAAUCUUAUCAGGUUCUACCCCUUGCUCUCGCAUGUCAGAGUAAGAAGUUAGAGCCUUAUGUUCAAAGCCACACAAACUAUAGCCUGAGAUCAUUGCAUUCCAUGUAGCUAGACAUGGUUCAUUGAUGCUCUUGAAUACCCUUUCUGCUUGAAUUAUGUUUCCACACUUGGUAUACAUGUCUAUAAGAGCAGUUCCAACAAAGUCUUCCAAUUCCAAUUUGUUCCUAAGAAUGUAGUUGUGAAGUCUCUUACCAAACUGCAAGUAUCCAAGCUGAGAACAACCAGACAGUAAACUAGCAACAGUGACAGCAUCUGGAUUGUGUCCAUACAUCUUCAUUUGACAGAAAAACUCUAUGGCAUCACUUACUCUUCCAGCUUGUACGCAGCCAGAUAUCACUGAAUUCCAACUGAUUAAUGGUUUUUCAUGCAUUUCAGAAAACAAAGAGAAUAGAGCUUCUACGUUGUUGAACUUGGAAUACAUGCUAAUUAGACCAUUUGCAACCAAAUUAUGGAUGUCCAAUCCGCUCUUUAAUGAAUAACCAUGAAGAGCAAGCCCAAUGCUCAUAUGACAAGGGUCAGUAAUCCCAUGAAGGAUACUAAUCAUAGCAACAGAAUCUAGUUUCAUGUCUAGCUGCUGCAUCCGAGUAAAACACUCCACAACCCAAUCCAUAUUUCCUGUUUCAGCAUAGCUUGAAAUAAUUGCAGUUAAAGAAACCAAGUUUUUCUGCGGCAAGGACCAGUAAAGCAGCUCUGCUGAUUCCCUGCUUCCACAUCUUGCAUACCUACAAACUAAUGAAGUAAUUACUGAUGCGUCAUUGACAAUACCCACUUUCAUGGUAUAACAAUGUGUAGAUUCUGGAUUAGCAUUUGCUGACAGAAGACUCAUAAUGGUAACUGGAUUGACUUCCACACGUGCCUCUAUCAUUUCUUUGAACACAAGCAUUGCCUUGUCAAAGAAACCAUUUUGUCCAUAGCCACUUAACAUGGUGUUCCAAGAAACUACACUUUUGUCUACCAUUUCUUCAAACAGAAGUUCUGCAGAUUCCAAAUCUCCGCAUUUAGCAUACAUCGAAGUAAGUGCAUUUUUCACCUGAGAAUCCAAAUCAAGGCCACACUGAAUCCCAAAACCAUGAAUAGACUUUCCUUGAAACACCAAUUCGCGUUGCCCACAAGAUGGAACCAAACCAACUAAUGUAGUUUGACGAGGGAAAAAAUCCUCUCUAAGCAUCUUAACAAAAAGCUCCAAGGCAAAAAAAUCACACCCAUUUCGCGAAUACCCACAAAUUAAGGCAUUCCAAGAAACAAUAUCUCUAUCAGGCAUACAAUCAAAGACGUUAUGCGCGUGGUUUAUGCACCCCAAUUUCAUGUACAAAUCAAGAAGGGCAGUACUUACAUAGACAAACUGGUCGAAACCCGAUUUUAUCAAGUGGGUAUGGAUUUGAAAGGCUUCAGAUUUUGAAUUUAGUGGAUUUGAAGCUAGUAAAGAUGAAGUAGCAGAAGAUUUAAGAAGUAAAGAGAAAGUGAGGUCAUUGGGUUUCACAUUAGAUUGUAACAACCGGCGAAAAAGAAGCAAUACUGAUUUUUGGUUUCUGGCUUCAAAGCAAGAUUUGAGUAGCGAAUGGACAAGUGAGAGACCGGGUUUUGAAGGGAGAGCGAUAGAGGAGGCCAAGUUCAU
rnacentral:misc_RNA from 1 species